GGCAAAUGGAACAGAUCACAGCCUCUUGGAGAUCUUUUACCUGGCUUCUUGCGGCCAUGGCACCCCAGGAGAAAUAAGAAAUAGGUGCCAUGGCCUCGAGAAGACAGGAAAAAGAUCUCCAACAGGCUGUUCUUCGUUCAGUUUGCUGGGAUUACUGUAAUGACAUGGUGAUUCUCAAGUGUGGGCACAAUUUCUGCUGACCCUGCAUCACUCAGUACUGCAAGGAGUCCAAAACCUCCCCCCUCCAUAUCCCUGCCCUCAGCAGGGCUGCCCAAAGGAUUCAGGGAACCUGGGACAAAGCAAUUUUGGGGGCCCCUUCCAUAAAAAAACGUUGCAAUACUAUAGAAUACUAUAUUCUUGUGGGGGCCCCUGUGGGGCCCAGGGGAAAUUGUCCCCCCUCUCCCCCCCCCGCCCCGGCAGCCCUGGCCUUCAGUGCAGAGAACCGUUCUGGGAAGGGGGAUUCCAGCCUAACCAGCAGCUGAGGAAUGUAGCUGAAAUAACCAAAAAAAUCCCAGACCUAAGAGGAAAGAAAACGUGAAAAACAUGGAGUUUCUGCAACUCUUCUGUGAAGUGGAUCAAACUCCCAUCUGUGUGGUGUGCAGAGAGUCCCGCAGCCACAGAGACCACCCCAUGCUUCCUGUUGAGGAGGCUGCUCUGGAUUACCAGGCCGAAAGGCUGCUGGAAAUGUAUAAAAACCCUGG